rnacentral:tRNA from 1 species
GGCAGUUUAGCAUAAUGGUUAAGGAACCGGUCUUGUAACCUGUAGGUCGCUGGUUCGAUUCCUGGGUCAGACU